GGAAAGAAGACGAAUAUGAAGGCUUGCUGUGAGUUACAAUGGAACAGAUUAUGUUUAUCUGCUGUAGAGUGACUGAUGAAGGAAUGCUGCCAUCAAAGGAUUUGUAUCUUUUGUGGUGUAGCAGGACCUGCAGGGAAAGGGGAAAAAAGGAAAUACCUGAAACAAAAGAAUAAAGUAAUGACUUUGUGUGUGUGUGUAUUUGUGUAGGUUAUGAAAAUGUCUGCAGACUGGUGUGUGCACUGAGGAUGGAGAAGUCCACUGCAGCAUCCGGAAAUGGUCCAGAGAUAUGGAUGAGAUGCUCCAUCACUCCAGCUCUCACUGUCUCAUCAGGACCAGAUGCUGCUGUGGUCUCUUCAUCAUCAGUGGCCCCAGAGCAGCGAGAACAUCUAGAGAAAGACCACAAGACACUGAGGAUUUGAUUUUGGUUUGUUCUGCUGGUUUCUGUUUAUACAAUGAAGGCUGACUUUCAGAAGCUUCAAGAGCAUCAUCAAAAAAUGUGAUGAAGCUUUUAUCUGAAGUGAUUGACAGUGCUCUUAUUACAGGGGCCUACAAUCCCCUGAUCAACCUGGAGAAAAGAGUCAUGCUCACAGACAUACUGGUGGUUUUGAACCAGUUCAGUGGUUUAAUAAUAAAUGAAUGCAUGUACUUGUAAACUCUGUGUAAAUGUUUUAAAGGUAGUGGUGCUCAUGGAGAGCAGACACACGAUUGUUUGGAGCAGACACAGCAGUCAGAUUGUCCUGCAUGUGUUGCUCUGCUCUCGCUUCAAGGUCGUGUGGUUCAGAGAGCCGACAUCAUGGUCUUCCUCAUCCUGUUGCUCAACGACAUCCCCGUUGAGAAGAGUGAGACUGUGAAGCACAGCGCAGCAGCAGAAUUGGCACAGCUGUGUUGAGAUGAUAGUAAGAUGUGGGGUUCACCAUCUGUAAAUACCUGAUUGUUAGAACAGUAUGUUUGAAUGAAGCUUUGUUUCAUGUGUUGUUGACUUGUACAUGUAUGCAUUUAUUGUGAUGCUAACAUUUAUACAUUCUUUUAAUCAU